rnacentral:tmRNA from 1 species
GAUACCACCGUUAUCGGGUCAUACAGAAUAGUUGCCAAUGACAACUAUGCUGAGGCCGCUCUCGCUGCGUAAUGCAGCGCGACUAGCCUGAACUUGAAGCCCUUACUCCUAGCCGGGUAAGGCGCGGUCCGGAGGGCACCGGGCAACAGAAGCCCUCCACU